AUGGUUUAUCACUCUAGUUUCAUUGAUGAUGAUGGGAUCACAAAAGCCUGUGGGUGUCCUUUGCUUCCACUCAAAACCCAUAUAAAGGGCCCAUCCCCAGCCUCAGAUUCAGAUAAGGCGGAUAUAGUUGAUGAAGCAAUAACUUUCUUCUGUGCAAAUGUUUUCUUCAAAAACUUCCAUGUCAAAAGCCCAGCAGACAAAUUGCUGAUCUAUCUGACAUCUUACAUCAAUAUUGCCUUGAAAAGACUAGAAACCUGCCGGACGCUGGCUGUCGGAACUAAGGCAAUCAUUAACCUGGGGUUGGAAAAAGUUCCUGUGCCUGGAGAACCAGGGUUUCCUUUUCCCUGGACUUUUCACUCUCCCCCAAUCUGGGGAGGAAGCAGAACUGUUGAGGAACUAUCUGAAGCAGAUAAGGGAGGAAACGAGCGGGAGGCUGCUCAACUGCGCAUACAGAGCUAA
rnacentral:rRNA from 1 species